rnacentral:lncRNA from 1 species
UCCAAUUCGCCUCUAUUUCUAUAUCUAUAUUGGAAGAAUUUCCUAAAGGAAACUCAUUGUUUUCCACUGCCGCUUCCACUGAGCUCUGAAGAUAAUGAACAUGAAGAGGUUCCACAGCAGUGGUUUGGUUCUCCUAAAUCUCUGCGUGAUCAACACGUGUGGUCCUCUUUGGUGUUUGCUGCUAGUUUUCAGCUUGCAGAAGUGAGAAAUUUACCUUUCUCUUCUUUUUUUUCUCUUCGUUUUUGUGGUCCUGGUUUAAAGUUAACUUCUGCUCUCUGUUUUGCCCAUCCAGAUGUGUAAUCCGGUGAAUGAGAUUGUUGUGUAUACCCAGGAGUCUACAGAGGGUUGUCAUAAUGGGUAUCAGUUGAUCUGUUACGUGUGAGUGUCUCGCAUCCUUCUUCUCUUGUAUGAUGUGUGGGUUUACCAAUAGAUCCGUGUUUUCCUAGCAGGGGUGGAAUGCAAUUGAUCUGUUACGUGUGAGUGUCUCGCACCCUUCUUCUCUUGUCUCCUUGGCUUGUCUGAUUCUCUUAGAUAUGAAGCUUUUUCCUCCUACCUUUCACAUAGGAAUGAAAGAAUUUGGUAUUCCUAUUCCCAUCUACAAACCUGUACUCCUCUAAGUGAAAAUAUCUUUUCAGUUCUGUUAAGAGCAUCCCUGCUAGCCUCUGUAGGAUAUAACUGAAUCUCUUUAACAUUUAUUACAUCUUCUAGAGUGGCUAUUUGCUGAAAAACAUUGCCAAAACUCUCUUUACUGUAUCAUGCGAGGGCUCCUUUCACCCUUUUCAAUUUGACCUGAAACUCAGUGAAAGGAUUACCAACAAAGUCAUUCCUCCCAUUGUCUUUCAGUAUGCUUCUGAAAUGAUUGUGCUUGGUCCAGAUAUUGAGAAAUUUGAAGGGCUUGAUGACUGGUUCUUGUAAUGCAUUGCAUAUCACAUGUAGAGGAGCAUGGUUUAAUCCUCGUCUUACCAUAUGUUGAACCUCAUUGACCGGAAAAACCUCCAUGAACUUCUGAUUACCAAAAACUGUGUCUAAUCUUUUGAAGAUGCAUUCAUUUUGUAUUCUCCCAUUCCACCAUGUGUAUUUACUCCCUGUGAAUUUAAAUUCAGAGAUGGCACAAUUAUUGAUGCAUUGAGGAAAAUGUGUUGCUUCAUGAUGUGUGAAAGGGAGACCUCCCAACUUCUCUUCAUCACGUAGGAUAACAUUGAAAUCUCCUCCAAUUAUUCAGGGAAUCUGAUAACAUUGAAAUCUCCCACAGUUCCAGUCUUUCUAGAGCAUUGCACCUACUAUAUAGAGCUGAGAUCAUAAUUUCUUGAUUACCAGCCUUGCAUCUGAAUUUCAACGUGAGUUGUUGAAUAAUGUCAGUAAGCACUUGACCUUCCCAUUCACCAUUCCAGAAAAAUCCAAAUCUUUGAGGAACAGUUUGCAAUACAUUAUGUAUUCCCAGUAUCCUUUUGUAUUGUUCUAACUCAUGUGGUCCUUGGAAAGGUUCCGUAAGAGCUAUGUAUGGGUAGUGAUGUCUUCUGUUAAGUUCCAUUAAUCUCUCAAAGGAAUUCAAAGAAUUAACAGAUCAUAUGUUCUAUGAAAGUAAGGUGUCAAUCAUUAAUCAAAUCUGGGGUGGUUUAUCUUUAUUCCUCCUUGUUCUAACCUCCAAAGGAAGGGAUCGAUUGCUUGCUUUUCCUCUUUUGGUUCCACUCUUAGGUUGUCAAUCUUCCUGGGUGAGAGGUCUCCUUCUUUGCUUAUAUGAUCUAUGUUCUCGUCCAUGUGUUCAUCUUCCCCUAGUAUCUCUUCUGUGUUGUUUCUUCUCAAUUGGCAUGUCCUCUAUCUCUGGUGCCUCACUAAGAGAUGUGUCUGGGAUAAUAAUCUGCAAUGGGUUCGGUUCUUGAGUACUCGCAUCGUUUUGCGUUUCUACCUUAUCCUCCUUUUGUGAGCUGUUAUUUUCUCUAUUGUUCGUUCCAAGAUCUUGUACUAGUCCUCCCUGGUAUCCUUGAGGAGCCUUGUGGUCAGCACUCCCUUUUUCUCCUGUUUCUUUGUGUUGGUUAUCUGGUGGUGCCCAUAUUGUUAGAACACUUGAUGUUGGAUUCCUUUUGUUGGUUGUAUGUUUUACUUCGUUUUCAUUGUCGCUUGUGUUUUUUUUUAUAGUCGGAUCCUUGUUGUUUCUUGAGUUCCCUUUGCUAUCCAAUUGUUUACCAAAAGCCUCUUUUUUUUUGCUUUACAAAUAAGUGGCACGACCUAAAGUAGUUUCAACCUAACUAAGUAUUCCAGCGAGCUACAGUCUCGGGCAUCUAACUGCACUGAGGGGAAGUAAAAC